rnacentral:rRNA from 1 species
GACGUAGGGCGCGAGCGUUGUCCGGAUUUAUUGGGCGUAAAGAGCUCGUAGGCGGCUUGUCGAGUCGACUGUGAAAACCCAUGGCUCAACCGUGGGCUUGCAGCCGAUACGGGCAGGCUAGAGUUCGGUAGGGGAGACUGGAAUUCCUGGUGUAGCGGUGAAAUGCGCAGAUAUCAGGAGGAACACCGGUGGCGAAGGCGGGUCUCUGGGCCGAUACUGACGCUGAGGAGCGAAAGCGUGGGGAGCGAACAGG